rnacentral:rRNA from 1 species
AGAGUUUGAUCAUGGCUCAGAAUCAACGCUGGCGGCGCGCUUAACACAUGCAAGUCGAACGCGAAAGCCUGACUUCGGUUGGGCAAGUAGAGUGGCAAACGGGUGAGUAACACGUGGAUAACCUACCCUCGAGUGGGGAAUAACCCCGGGAAACUGGGGCUAAUACCGCAUACGAUCCAUCGGACUAAGUCCGGUGGCUGAAAGCCUUCGGGCGCUGGAGGAGGGGUCCGCGGCCGAUUAGCUAGUUGGCGGGGUAAAAGCCCACCAAGGCACAGAUCGGUAGCCGGCCUGAGAGGGCGCACGGCCACACUGGCACUGAGACACGGGCCAGACUCCUACGGGAGGCAGCAGUGGGGAAUCUUGGACAAUGGGCGAAAGCCUGAUCCAGCGACGCCGCGUGACUGAUGAAGCCUUUCGGGGUGUAAAAGUCUUUCGGCAGGGACAAUAAUGAUGGUACCUGCAGAAGCAGCGCG